rnacentral:tRNA from 1 species
CCCGAAACAGCUCAGUUGGCAGAGCGAUAGACUGAAGAUCUAAAGGUCCCUGGUUUGAUCCCAGGUUGGGGAG